CCUACGGGAGGCUGCAGUGAGGAAUAUUGCGCAAUGGGGGCAACCCUGACGCAGCAACGCCGCGUGAGUGAGGAAGGUUUUCGGACCGUAAAGCUCUGUCGAGCGGGAAGAAAUGUAUCGUGGCUAAUAUCCAUGAUAUUUGACGGUACCGCUAAAGGAAGCACCGGCUAACUCCGUGCCAGCAGCCGCGGUAAUACGGGGGGUGCAAGCGUUGUUCGGAAUUAUUGGGCGUAAAGAGCGUGUAGGCGGCUGAAUAAGUCAGAUGUGAAAUCCCUGGGCUUAACCCAGGAAGUGCAUUUGAAACUAUUCAGCUUGAGUAGGGGAGAGGAAAGUGGAAUUCCUGGUGUAGAGGUGAAAUUCGUAGAUAUCAGGAGGAACACCGGUGGCGAAGGCGACUUUCUGGCCCUAUACUGACGCUGAGACGCGAGAGCGUGGGUAGCAAACAGGAUUAGAUACCCUUGUAGUC
rnacentral:rRNA from 1 species